rnacentral:rRNA from 1 species
UACGUAGGGACCAAGCGUUGUUCGGAUUUACUGGGCGUAAAGGGCGCGUAGGCGGCUUAACAAGUCACUUGUGAAAUCUCCGGGCUUAACUCGGAACGGCCAAGUGAAACUGUCAAGCUAGAGUGCAGAAGGGGCAAUCGGAAUUCUUGGUGUAGCGGUGAAAUGCGUAGAUAUCAAGAGGAACACCUGAGGUGAAGACGGGUUGCUGGGCUGACACUGACGCUGAGGCGCGAAAGCUAGGGGAGCAAACGGG